GACGAUACCAGGAUACUUCUUUAAAGAUGACGCUUUGCUUUUGCAUAAAGCAAUACAUCAGUUUGUGUAUGAAUAUGCAGCACACUACUACGGCAAUGAUGAUGUUAAUGUUCAACAAGACCAUGAGAUUCAAUCGUUUAGACAAGAACUAUUAUUACCAAGAAAAACAAAUGGAACCGGCAGAUGUGGGUAUUCCGGAAUUUACAAGCAUCGAAAACCUCGUCGAGGUUUUGACAGAUUUUAUUUACAUAUGUAGUGUCGAGCAUUCUGCGGCCAAUUAUCCUGCAUAUGACCAAUUCGCCUUUCCUCCAAACAUGCCAGACAUUUUACAUGGACAACCCGAGGAAGAAAUGAAUGAUCUUGAUGAAGCGAUGCCCACAGGAAAAGAACUAUUUUUCAUAAUUGGUGCUAAACGGACCGGUACUCAAGUACUCACAAACAGUUUGGGAAAUUAUGAAGAUAGUUAUUUAAAGACAAUGGAUAGCGAUGGAAAGGCUUUUGUUAAAAAGUUUCAGCAAAAUUUAUUAGGUGUCACAGAGCAGAUAAAUCAGAGAAAUAACGAUAUUACUGCUGGCAACAAUGGAAAGGAAAUCAAAGAAUACCCGUAUGAAUGGCUUCUUCCAGAAAAUGUUCUUAAUUCUAUAAACAUUUAA
rnacentral:sRNA from 1 species